UGGGGAAUAUUGCACAAUGGGCGCAAGCCUGAUGCAGCAACGCCGCGUGAGGGACGACGGCCUUCGGGUUGUAAACCUCUUUUAGUAGGGAAGAAGCGAAAGUGACGGUACCUGCAGAAAAAGCACCGGCUAACUACGUGCCAGCAGCCGCGGUAAUACGUAGGGUGCGAGCGUUGUCCGGAAUUAUUGGGCGUAAAGAGCUCGUAGGCGGUCUGUCGCGUCUGCUGUGAAAACCCGAGGCUCAACCUCGGGCCUGCAGUGGGUACGGGCAGACUAGAGUGCGGUAGGGGAGAAUGGAAUUCCUGAUGUAGCGGUGGAAUGCGCAGAUAUCAGGAGGAACACCGAUGGCGAAGGCAGUUCUCUGGGCCGUAACUGACGCUGAGGAGCGAAAGCGUGGGGAGCGAACAGGAUUAGAUACCCUGGUAGUCCACGCCGUAAACGUUGGGCGCUAGAUGUGGGGACCAUUCCACGGUUUCCGUGUCGCAGCUAACGCAUUAAGCGCCCCGCCUGGGGAGUACGGCCGCAAGGCUAAAACUCAAAUGAAUUGACGGGGUCAUAGCUGUUUCCU
rnacentral:rRNA from 1 species